CCUACGGGAGGCAGCAGUGGGGGAUAUUGGACAAUGGGGGAAACCCUGAUCCAGCGACGCCGCGUGAGUGAAGAAGUAUUUCGGUAUGUAAAGCUCUGUCAGCAGGGAAGAAAGAAAUGACGGUACCUGACCAAGAAGCCCCGGCUAACUACGUGCCAGCAGCAGCGGUAAUACGGAGGGGGCAAGCGUUAUCCGGAAUUACUGGGUGUAAAGGGAGCGUAGACGGUUAAGUAAGUCUGGAGGGAAAGGCCGGGGCCCAACCCCGGGACUGCGCUGGAAACUAUUGAACUUGAGUGCAGGAGAGGUAAGCGGAAUGCCUAGUGUAGCGGUGAAAUGCGUAGAUAUUAGGAGGAACACCAGUGGCGAAGGCGGCUUACUGGACUGUAACUGACGUUGAGGCUCGAAAGCGUGGGGAGCAAACAGGAUUAGAUACCCCAGUAGUC
rnacentral:rRNA from 1 species